UGCAGAUGAUGUCUUUCUCACGAUGGUCUUCCUAAACUCUUAAAGAGCUCUGAGGAAACUGCCUAUGGCAAUGCUGAUGCGGUGGA